GAGAAAUUUCCUUCGGGAAACGAGUAGAGUGGCGCACGGGUGAGUAACGCGUAGGUAAUCUACCCUUAUGCCUGGGAUAACAUUGGGAAACUGGUGCUAAUACCGGAUAUCCUUCCUGACUGUGGGGUCAGGGAGGAAAGGUGGCCUCUUCAAGAAAGCUACCGCGUAGGGAUGAGCCUGCGUACCAUUAGCUAGUAGGCGGGGUAACGGCCCACCUAGGCAACGAUGGUUAGCGGGUCUGAGAGGAUGAUCCGCCACACUGGAACUGGAACACGGACCAGACUCCUACGGGAGGCAGCAGUGAGGAAUAUUGCGCAAUGGGGGAAACCCUGACGCAGCGACGCCGCGUGAGUGAGGAAGGUUUUCGGAUCGUAAAGCUCUGUCAGAAGGGAAGAAAUGCUGCAUGGUUAAUACCCAUGCAGUUUGACGGUACCUUCAGAGGAAGCACCGGCUAACUCCGUGCCAGCAGCCGCGGUAAUACGGAGGGUGCGAGCGUUGUUCGGAAUUACUGGGCGUAAAGGGCGCGCAGGCGGCCUGAUAAGUCAGAUGUGAAAGCCCACGGCUCAACCGUGGAAGUGCAUUUGAAACUGUCUGGCUUGAGUAUCGGAGGGGAGUGUGGAAUUCCCGGUGUAGAGGUGAAAUUCGUAGAGAUCGGGAGGAACACCGGUGGCGAAGGCGACACUCUGGACGAAUACUGACGCUGAGGCGCGAAA
rnacentral:rRNA from 1 species